CAGCUUGUCGACGCCACUUCCAGCGGGCGCAACUACCGUGGCCGUUGCCGGACGAGCUGGAGAGGAAGAAAGCAGCAUGGACUACAGCCAGGAUUUUACCGCUGCUGUCGACGAUACCGCGCCCCCUUACAGGACAGAAGCCAGUGAGUCCAACGACGCCAACUACACCAGCACAAGUACAGAGCGAGAAGAAAUCUUCGGGGGCAGUGAAGAUAUCUGAACACUACUUUUCGAUCCUCUCUCAAACCUUUGUACUUUCUUUAGCUCGCGGUUUCAUACGCUCAUGUUGUGUCCACGACUGGCGUGCCUACUAAUGCGCUGCCACAUAAAACUCUGCUUCUCUUCCUUGUUCAAAAGCAUUGGCGCCCGCAUCGCCAAAUGUGCUUAAGCGUUGUUAGGAUCAGAAAAUUGAA